UACGGGGGGGGCAAGCGUUGUUCGGAAUUACUGGGCGUAAAGCGUGCGUAGACGGUUAUUUAAGUCGGGUGUGAAAGCCCCGGGCUCAACUCGGAACUGUCAGCUGAUACUGUUUUGCUAGAGUGCGGAAGGGGCAAUCGGAAUUCUUGGUGUAGCGGUGAAAUGCGUAGAUAUCAAGAGGAACACCUGAGGUGAAGACGGGUUGCUGGGCCGACACUGACGCUGAGUGCGCGAAAGCCAGGGGAGCAAACGGG
rnacentral:rRNA from 1 species